UACGUAGGGUGCAAGCGUUGUCCGGAAUUAUUGGGCGUAAAGAGCUCGUAGGCGGUUUGUUGCGUCGGCUGUGAAAUCCCGAGGCUCAACCUCGGGUCUGCAGUCGAUACGAGCAAACUAGAGUGUUGCAGGGGAGACUGGAAUUCCUGGUGUAGCGGUGAAAUGCGCAGAUAUCAGGAGGAACACCGGUGGCGAAUGCGGGUCUCUGGGCAACAACUGACGCUGAGGAGCGAAAGCGUGGGGAGCGAACAGG
rnacentral:rRNA from 1 species